rnacentral:rRNA from 1 species
ACUAGAAUGAACGGCUAAAUGAAGACAAAACUGUCUCUUACGGACUAGCCAAUGAAAUUGAUCCUCCAGUACAAAAGCUGGAAUAAACACAUAAGACGAGAAGACCCUGUGGAGCUUCAAAACCAAAACCACUAAAUAUGGCCCUUGGUUUUUUAGUUGGGGCGACUUUGGAGUAAAAAAAACCCUCCAAAAACCAAUCUAUUUAUUAAGACUAACACAUCAAAAAUAAUUUUUAGACCCAGCAACAUUUGUUUGUCUGAUCAAUGAACCAAGUUACCCCAGGGAUAACAGCGCCAUCCUCUUCUAGAGUCCCUAUCGACAAGAGGGUUUACGACCUCGAUGUUGGAUCAGGACACCCCUAUAGUGCAGCCGCUAUAAAAG